ACAGACCCCACGGUGAGCACACACACACACACACGAACACAGACCCCACGGUGAGCACACACACACACACACACACACGAACACAGACCCCACGGUGAGCACACACACACACACACACACACACACACACACUCCACAGUAACACACACACGUUAAAGCCUUAUUCUACAAUAGAUUAAAACCAUAAUGACAUCACAACACCCCAUAAUGACAUCACAAUACCCCAUAAUGACAUCACAAUACCCCAUAAUGACAUCACAACACCCCAUAAUGACAUCACAAUACCCCAUAAUGACAUCACAAUACCCCAUAAUGACAUCACAAUACCCCAUAAUGACAUCACAAUACCCCAUAAUGACAUCACACUACCCCAUAAUGUUGAAGCAAAAAAACGUUUUUUUAUACAUUACAUUCAUACAAGCGUCUUAGUAUGGGUGGUUCCCGGGAAUCGAACCCACUACCCUGCCGUUGCUAGCACCAUGCUCUACCAGCUGAGCUUACAGGGGACCAGCUAAUGUGUGUGUGUCUCUCUACAGCAAGAUGACGAGCGCAUCAUUCAGGAGAUUCAGAAAGAGGGCGAGAAAGAGCUCAACAAGAAGAACGCAGAGACUUCAGGGAAGAGAGUGGGCCCGCCCCCGGAACCUGUGGUGGUUGCUAAGCGACCUCGAGCAGCCCCCCCUCCGCAGGCGGUGCGAGCGCCCUUAUUGGUCCCUCCUCGUGUCAUUCUGCCUCAUCGCCAGCCCUUGCCCCCCGCCCCCUACGUGCCCCCGCUCCUCCACCUGCCCCCCCUCAACUACCACCCUCCCCUCAACCAGGUCAACAACAACCUGAACAAUAUAGACGUCAACAUGCCCAUGCACUAUGGACCCCCCCCUCGCUACUACAGACACCUAUAACCCUCCUCCUCUACUACAGACACCUAUAACCCUCCUCCUCCUCUACUACAGACACCUAUAACCCUCCUCCUCCUCUACUACAGACAUCUAUAACCCUCCUCCUCUACUACAGACAUCUAUAACCCUCCUCCUCUACUACAGACACCUAUAACCCUCCUCCUCCUCUACUACAGACACCUAUAACCCUCCUCCUCCUCUACUACAGACACCUAUAACCCUCCUCCUCUACUACAGACACCUAUAACCCCCCUCCUCCUCCUCUACUACAGACACCUAUAACCCUCCUCUACUACAGACACCUAUAACCCUCCUCCCCCUCCUCUACUACAGACACCUAUAACCCUCCUCCUUCUCUACUACAGACACCUAUAACCAUCCUCCCCCUCCUCUACUACAGACACCUAUAACCCUCCUCUACUACAGACACCUAUAACCCUCCUCCCCCUCCUCUACUACAGACACCUAUAACCCUCCUCUACUACAGACACCUAUAACCCUCCUCCCCCUCCUCUACUACAGACACCUAUAACCCUCCUCUACUACAGACACCUAUAACCAUCCUCCCCCUCCUCUACUACAGACACCUAUAACCCCUCCUCCUCUACUACAGACACCUAUAACCCCCCUCCUCCUCUACUACAGACACCUAUAACCCUCCUCCUCCUCUACUACAGACACCUAUAACCCCCCUCCUCUACUACAGACACCUAUAACCCCCCUCCUCCUCUACUACAGACACCUAUAACCCCCCCCCCCUCUACUACAGACACCUAUAACCCCCCCCUCCUCUACUACAGACACCUAUAACCCCCCCUCCUCCUCUACUACAGACACCUAUAACCCCCCCUCGCUACUACAGACACCUAUAACCCCUCCUCCUCUACUACAGACACCUAUAACCCCCCCUCGCUACUACAGACACCUAUAACCCCUCCUCCUCUACUACAGACACCUAUAACCCCUCCUCCUCUACUACAGACACCUAUAACCCCCCCUCGCUACUACAGACACCUAUAACCCCUCCUCCUCUACUACAGACACCUAUAACCCCCCUCCUCUACUACAGACACCUAUAACCCCCCUCCUCCUCUACUACAGACACCUAUAACCCUCCUCCUCCUCUACUACAGACACCUAUAACCCCCCUCCUCUACUACAGACACCUAUAACCCCCCUCCUCUACUACAGACACCUAUAACCCCUCCUCCUCUACUACAGACACCUAUAACCCCCCUCCUCCUCUACUACAGACACCUAUAACCCUCCUCCUCCUCUACUACAGACACCUAUAACCCCUCCUCCUCUACUACAGACACCUAUAACCCCCCUCCUCCUCUACUACAGACACCUAUAACCCCCCUCCUCCUCUACUACAGACACCUAUAACCCUCCUCCUCCUCUACUACAGACACCUAUAACCCCCCCUCCUCCUCUACUACAGACACCUAUAACCCCCCCUCGCUACUACAGACACCUAUAACCCUCCUCCUCCUCUACUACAGACACCUAUAACCCUCCUCCUCUACUACAGACACCUAUAACCCUCCUCCUCUACUACAGACACCUAUAACCCUCCUCUACCACAGACACCUAUAACCCUCCUCCUCCUCUACUACAGACACCUAUAACCCUCCCUCGCUACUACAGACACCUAUAACCCUCUUCCUCCUCUACUACAGACACCUAUAACCCUCCUCCUCUACUACAGACACCUAUAACCCCCCUCCUCCUCUACUACAGACACCUAUAACCCUCCUCCUCCUCUACUACAGACACCUAUAACCCUCCUCCUCUACUACAGACACCUAUAACCCUCCUCCUCUACUACAGACACCUAUAACCCUCCUCCUCCUCUACUACAGACACCUAUAACCCUCCUCCUCUACUACAGACACCUAUAACCCUCCUCCUCCUCUACUACAGACACCUAUAACCCUCCCCCUCCUCUACUACAGACACCUAUAACCCUCCUCCUCUACUACAGACACCUAUAACCCUCCUCCUCCUCUACUACAGACACCUAUAACCCUCCUCCUCCUCUACUACAGACACCUAUAACCCCCCCUCGCUACUACAGACACCUAUAACCCUCCUCCUCCUCUACUACAGACACCUAUAACCCCCCCUCGCUACUACAGACACCUAUAACCCCCCUCCUCCUCUACUACAGACACCUAUAACCCUCCCCCUCCUCUACUACAGACACCUAUAACCCUCCUCCUCUACUACAGACACCUAUAACCCUCCUCCUCCUCUACUACAGACACCUAUAACCCUCCUCCUCCUCUACUACAGACACCUAUAACCCUCCUCCUCCUCUACUACAGACACCUAUAACCCUCCUCCUCCUCUACUACAGACACCUAUAACCCUCCUCCUCCUCUACUACAGACACCUAUAACCCUCCUCCUCCUCCUCUACUACAGACACCUAUAACCCCCCUCCUCUACUAGACACCUAUAACCCCUCCUCCUCCUCUACUACAGACACCUAUAACCCUCCUCCUCUACUACAGACACCUAUAACCCCCCCUCCUCUACUACAGACACCUAUAACCCUCCUCUACUACAGACACCUAUAACCCUCCUCCUCCUCUACUACAGACACCUAUAACCCCCCCUCCUCUACUACAGACACCUAUAACCCCUCCUCCUCCUCCUCUACUACAGACACCUAUAACCCCCCUCCUCCUCUACUACAGACACCUAUAACCCCUCCUCCUCCUCUACUACAGACACCUAUAACCCUCCCCCUCCUCUACUACAGACACCUAUAACCCUCCUCCUCUACUACAGACACCUAUAACCCUCCUCCUCCUCUACUACAGACACCUAUAACCCUCCUCCUCCUCUACUACAGACACCUAUAACCCCCCUCCUCUACUAGACACCUAUAACCCCUCCUCCUCCUCUACUACAGACACCUAUAACCCUCCUCCUCUACUACAGACACCUAUAACCCCCCCCUCCUCUACUACAGACACCUAUAACCCUCCUCUACUACAGACACCUAUAACCCUCCUCCUCCUCUACUACAGACACCUAUAACCCCUCCUCCUCUACUACAGACACCUAUAACCCCCCUCCUCUACUACAGACACCUAUAACCCCCCCUCCUCCUCUACUACAGACACCUAUAACCCCCCUCCUCCUCUACUACAGACACCUAUAACCCCCCUCCUCUACUACAGACACCUAUAACCCCCCUCCUCUACUACAGACACCUAUAACCCCCCCCCUCCUCUACUACAGACACCUAUAACCCUCCUCCUCCUCCUCUACUACAGACACCUAUAACCCCUCCUCCUCUACUACAGACACCUAUAACCCCCCCUCCUCUACUACAGACACCUAUAACCCCUCCUCCUCUACUACAGACACCUAUAACCCCCCCUCCUCCUCUACUACAGACACCUAUAACCCCCCUCCUCCUCUACUACAGACACCUAUAACCCCCCUCCUCUACUACAGACACCUAUAACCCCCCUCCUCUACUACAGACACCUAUAACCCCCCCCCCCCCUCUACUACAGACACCUAUAACCCUCCUCCUCCUCCUCUACUACAGACACCUAUAACCCCCCUCCUCCUCUACUACAGACACCUAUAACCCUCCUCCUCUACUACAGACACCUAUAACCCCCCCUCCUCUACUACAGACACCUAUAACCCCUCCUCCUCUACUACAGACACCUAUAACCCCUCCUCCUCUACUACAGACACCUAUAACCCCCCCCCCUCCUCUACUACAGACACCUAUAACCCCCCUCCUCUACUACAGACACCUAUAACCCCUCCUCCUCUACUACAGACACCUAUAACCCCCCCUCCUCUACUACAGACACCUAUAACCCCUCCUCCUCUACUACAGACACCUAUAACCCCCCCCCCUCCUCUACAGACCCCUUCUCGUCCUCCUCUUCCAGACUGUUAUCUAGUACCAGGUGUCUCCAGACAGUUAAUAGACUGAGAUGUGAUCAUGGCAGAGCGAACCCUGCUGGCUGUUCCUUUCUACUCUUUACGUUUGUUUUGUUUCGGGGGGGGUGCUGACCUCUGACCCGUUGACCUUGCUACUGUUCCAGAGAUAUUUUUGAUUACAGCAUAAUGUUGUUCUGAGUACUGUUUCUGCUCAAUAAACUUUUUAGUUUUCACAUUCUGGUCUGGUGGUUCCACACACUUAACUUAUCUUAAGGUCGUCCAUCCUAUCACAGACCUUUAUACUCUUAUCUUAAGGUCGUCCGUCCUAUCCUAGACCUUUAUACUCUUAUCUUAAGGUAGUCCAUCCUAUCACAGACCUUUAUACUCACUUAUCUUAUCUUAAGGUAGUCCAUCCUAUCACAGACCUUUAUACACACUUAACUUAUCUUAAGGUAGUCCAUCC
rnacentral:lncRNA from 1 species